GUGGGGUCCGAUUACUUUUAGUUUUCGCUCUCGAACUUUAGUAAAAGUGAAUAGAAAUUUUAACACAAGAUUUAUGGCCUUAAAAGGAAGGGUGGGAUUGAUUUAGUAAGUUUUGGUCCCAACAGUUUAGGAAUAAGGGGCCAAAAAGGGCCCAAAUAAGUAUUUUUAGCUCACCUGGCCCGAAGGGCCAAGGGCCAAGUGAGCUUUUCUCAUCACUUGGUGUCUGUCGUCGUUAACUUUUACAAAAAUCUUCUCCUCUGAAACUACUGGGCCAAAUUAAAUAAAACUUGGCCACAAUCAUCAUUGGGGUAUCUAGUUUAUAAAAUGUGUGGCGUUACCCGCCAAACCAACCAAGAUGGCCGCCAUGGCUAAAAAUAGAACAUAGGGGUAAAACGCAGUUUUCGGCUUAUAACUCAAAAACCAAAGCAUUUAGAGCAAAUCUGACAUGGGGGUAAAAUUGUUUAUCAGGUCAAGAUCUAUCUGCCCUGAAAUUUUCAGAUGAAUCAGAGAACCUGUUGUUGGGUUGCUGCCCCUGAAUUGGUAAUUUUAAGGAAAUUUUGCUGUUUUUGGUUAUUAUCUUGAAUAUAAUUAUAGAUAGAGAUAAACUGUAAGCAGCAAUAAUGUUCAGCAAAGUAAGAUUUACAAAUAAGUCGACAUGACCAAAAUGGUCAAUUGACCCCCUAAGGAGUUAUUGUCCUUUAUAGUCAAUUUUAAACAAUUUUCUUAAAAUUUGUAAAUUUUUACUACCGGUAACAUUUCCCACAGAAACUACUGGGCCAAGUUCAUUAUAGAUGGUGAUAAUUGUAAGCAGCAAGAAUGUUCAGUAAAGUAAGAUGUACAAACAUAUCACCAUCACCAAAACAAAAUUUUGUCAUGAAUCCAUCUACUUCCUUUGUUUAAUAUUCACAUAGACCAAGGUGAGCGA
rnacentral:lncRNA from 1 species